rnacentral:rRNA from 1 species
GACAGAGGCCUCGAGCGUUAGGCGGAAUCACUGGGCUUAAAGCGUGUGUAGGCGGGCCCGUAAGUGUCUUGUGAAAUCCCACGGCUCAACCGUGGAACUGCUGGGCAUACUGCGGGUCUUGGGCCAACUAGGGGCAGCCGGAACAAGCGGUGGAGCGGUGAAAUGCGUAGAUAUCGCUUGGAACGCCGAAGGUGAAAACAGGCUGCUGGGGUUGCGCCGACGCUGAGGAGCGAAAGCUAGGGGAGCGAACGGG